UACGGAGGGUGCAAGCGUUACCCGGAAUCACUGGGCGUAAAGGGCGUGUAGGCGGGAUGCUAAGUCUGGCUUUGAAGACCGGAGCUCAACUCCGGGAGUGGGGUGGAGACUGGCAUUCUGGACCUAUGUAGAGAGAACUGGAAUUCCUGGUGUAGCGGUGGAAUGCGUAGAUACCCGGAGGAAUACCCACGGCGAAGGCAGGCUCUUGGACAGAAGGUGACGCUGAGGCGCGAAAGUGUGGGGAGCGAACCGG
rnacentral:rRNA from 1 species